ACUACCGUUGAAAAGUUAGCGGAUGACCUGUGGAUCGGAGUGAAAGGCUAAUCAAGCUCGGAGAUAGCUGGUUCUCCUCGAAAGCUAUUUAGGUAGCGCCUCAUGUAUCACUGUAGGGGGUAGAGCACUGUUUCGGCUAGGGGGUCAUCCCGACUUACCAAACCGAUGCAAACUCCGAAUACCUACAAGUGCCGAGCAUGGGAGACACACGGCGGGUGCUAACGUCCGUCGUGAAAAGGGAAACAACCCAGACCGUCAGCCAAGGUCCCAAAGUUAUGGUUAAGUGGGAAACGAUGUGGGAAGGCUUAGAC
rnacentral:rRNA from 1 species